AGUGAACGCUGGCGGUAGGCCUAACACAUGCAAGUCGAACGGCAGCACAGUAAGAGCUUGCUCUUACGGGUGGCGAGUGGCGGACGGGUGAGGAAUACAUCGGAAUCUACUUUUUCGUGGGGGAUAACGUAGGGAAACUUACGCUAAUACCGCAUACGUCCUACGGGUGAAAGCAGGGGAUCUUCGGACCUUGCGCGACUGAAUGAGCCGAUGUCGGAUUAGCUAGUUGGCGGGGUAAAGUCCCACCAAGGCAACGAUCCGUAGCUGGUCUGAGAGGAUGAUCAGCCACACUGGAACUGAGACACGGUCCAGACUCCUACGGGAGGCAGCAGUGGGGAAUAUUGGACAAUGGGCGCAAGCCUGAUCCAGCCAUACCGCGUGAGUGAAGAAGGCCUUCGGGUUGUAAAGCCCUUUUAUUGGGAAAGAAAAGCAGCAGGUUAAUACCCCGCUGUUCUGACGGUACCCAAAGAAUAAGCACCGGCUAACUUCGUG
rnacentral:rRNA from 1 species